rnacentral:rRNA from 1 species
UGGUGGCGWAGUGGCGAACGGGUGAGUAAUGUAUCGGAACGUGCCCAGUAGCGGGGGAUAACUACGCGAAAGCGUAGCUAAUACCGCAUACGCCCUACGGGGGAAAGGGGGGGAUCGCAAGACCUCUCACUAUUGGAGCGGCCGAUAUCGGAUUAGCUAGUUGGUGAGGUAAAGGCUCACCAAGGCUUCGAUCCGUAGCUGGUUUGAGAGGACGACCAGCCACACUGGGACUGAGACACGGCCCAGACUCCUACGGGAGGCAGCAGUGGGGAAUUUUGGACAAUGGGGGAAACCCUGAUCCAGCAAUGCCGCGUGUGCGAAGAAGGCCUUCGGGUUGUAAAGCACUUUUGGCAGGAACGAAACGGCGCCGGAUAAUACCUGGUGUCACUGACGGUACCUGCAGAAUAAGCACCGGCUAACUACGUG